UGUGGGAGCGAGCUUGCUCGCGAUAGCGAUCCAUCAGUCACCUUCCAUAUUGACUGAUCUGCCGCCAUCGCGAGCAAGCUCGCUCCCACA
rnacentral:misc_RNA from 1 species